CCCCCGGUAGCUCAGAGGUAGAGCGCUCGGCUGUAGACCGAGUGGUCGAGGGUUCAAAUCCCUCCCGGGGGA
rnacentral:tRNA from 1 species